rnacentral:rRNA from 1 species
CAGCAGCCACGGGAAUACGUAGGGUGCAAGCGUUAAUCGGAAUUACUGGGCGUAAAGCGUGCGCAGGCGGUUAUAUAAGUCAGAUGUGAAAUCCCCGGGCUCAACCUGGGAACUGCAUUUGUGACUGUAUAGCUAGAGUACGGCAGAGGGGGAUGGAAUUCCGCGUGUAGCAGUGAAAUGCGUAGAUAUGCGGAGGAACACCGAUGGCGAAGGCAAUCCCCUGGGCCUGUACUGACGCUCAUGCACGAAAGCGUGGGGAGCAAACAGGAUUAGAUACCCGUGUAGUCCCUGUCUCUUAUAA